GAUAAACGCUAGCGGCAGGCCUAAUACAUGCAAGUCGAACGGUAACAUGAGUAGCAAUACUUGAUGACGAGUGGCGCACGGGUGCGUAACACGUAUGUAAUCUUCCCACAACUGGGGGAUAGCCCGGAGAAAUCCGGAUUAAUACCCCAUAUCCCAGCGAGGUGGCAUCACCUUUCUGGUAAAUCUCCGGAGGUUGUGGAUGAACAUGCGUCCGAUUAGCUAGUUGGCGGGGUAACGGCCCACCAAGGCUACGAUCGGUAGGGGUACUGAGAGGUUAAACCCCCACACUGGUACUGAGACACGGACCAGACUCCUACGGGAGGCAGCAGUAAGGAAUAUUGGACAAUGGAGGCAACUCUGAUCCAGCCAUGCCGCGUGAAGGAUGAAGGCGCUAUGCGUUGUAAACUUCUUUUGAACGGGAAAAAACCCCUUUACGUGUAAAGGGUUGAUUGUACCGUUAGAAUAAGGGUCGGCUAACUUCGUGCCAGCAGCCGCGGUAAUAC
rnacentral:rRNA from 1 species